CUGGCUACAAAUACUGUGAUCAACCAUCAUAACAUAGAAUAAACAACUACACUAGAGUUUCUAUUAAAAGACUUGUUCAAUGAUAGGAUGGGGGUCAGCAGGGUGCGAAAACUCAAUAUAAACUUUUCAUAAGAUCAGAAGAAAAAAAGAACUGAAAUCUAUUUAUAUAGAUGAUCUAAAUAGAUUAUAUUUGAUUAUCC
rnacentral:lncRNA from 1 species